AAGGCUAGGGGGUUAAAUCGGAGCUGUAGUUGCCAGCCUACACCACAGCCACAGCAACACAAGAUCUGAACCACCUCUGUGACCUACACCACAGUUCAAAACAAGGCCAGCUCCUUAACAACGCCAAGGAUGGCACCUGCAUCCUCAUGGAUACCAGGCGUUACCACUGAGCCACAACAUGGGACUCCAAAAAGGGAGAAUUCCAAGGGAGCAAAAAUCAAUAAAAUUGAUUUCUGGGACUUUAGCGGGCCGAGCUCAGAGAGGAAGUGGGAAAGGUGGAUGGAGGCCAGGUGUGCCCCUAGCAUCAUUAUAUGGAGUCUGAGCCCCGACAGCGCUAGUCACUAACUUUGAGACUUUGCCCCUCAGUGCCUUCUGUUGCUGACACCAUGAAGGCGAAACAGUCACCCCUCCUGGAUGCUCACUGCAACUUGUAGGAGUCUGUUUCUAAGUGUGGGACUGCUGCAAAACUGUGAGCUCCCCAAGGGCAGGGCUGUGUCCCGGAGCCACGGAGUUCUCGCGAUAAGUGGAGGUCAGCCAUUAGGUCGGGCGCUGUAACUGUGAGAUCAUCAAGGGCAGGGGUAUAGCCAGUAGUCAUGGAGUUCUCGCGAUAACUGAAGGUCGGCGGUUAGGACUAGCGCAUACCCUAAGACCAUCGAGGAUAGGGGUGUGUCCAGGACUCUCGGAGUUCUCGCGAUAACUGGAGGUCAGCCAUUAGAACUGCGUCCGUGCCGAAGGCGGGGAGUCCUUUGCUCAUGGACCAGAAUAAGUACAGCCUGGGAGUCCAGUCAUGGCUGUAGAGUGGCCAUUGCCCUUAACAGUGGGGGCAUCUUCUGAGGAAUCACCUUCAGAACCUGAGGCACAUCAAUGCUGCUUUUGAAGGCGGAGGUGCUGUUUCGAACCACCUGGAAGUCAUUUGGAGUCCAGCGAAAGAGUCCAUUAAGGGGAAAAUAAAGGUCCGAGUGAAAAGGCAGCAGCAAAACAAAUCGAAGCAUGAAAGUGAAGAGUUCGAAAAGGAGCUGGACAAGAGAACUUCAGGCAGAAGAUCCAUCUUGGAAGCAUCAGUGGUUGACAUGUCAACUUCACGUGCACUACUGACCGUGCUGGAUGCGCACCUUUGGGAUGGAGAGGUGCCUGCUGUCUGCCCAGACCCCUGCUUUACAGCCGAAGAAGCUGACAGAGGAGUCAGGCGAUUUAAGGCAAGUUGGCAACCACUUUGGUGGCAGAUGGAUGACUGGGCCCAGGUGUUCUAGUCACGUUCCUGGACAGGUGUGUGACGGAAAUACAAAAUCUGAGAAUUUGAGCAGGAAGGCCCCGUGCUCUUGGUGGGGGUCCCGGGGUCUGAGCGCCGCAGGUAAGCUUUAGGUGUUUAGAGCUGUGUUGCAGCCGCCUCCCCUCCCCUCGGAUCCCUCCACCCCCACGUUUACCCCCCAAACACACCCACGUGCCCCCUUCAAGAAUAGCAUGUUUCUAAAGUUUUCAUUUGCGUUUAAGGUUGGAACGCAUCCAGGCCAAAGAUGAAAAUCUCCAGCCUGGCCCUCUGUCCCUCACAGCCCUGCAGGCUCCCUCUGGCUCCUGCCAUAGGUGGGGACCCACCUACCUCAUGUCUCAAAACCCUGUCUCUCUCCUCGGGGUGAGAGGAAGGGGGCGAUGCUGGCACUGAGAGAGGAACUCCUCUUUUCACCCAGCGACAUGACAUGGUCGGGGGCCGAAGGCCGACGUGAAGGAACCUCCCAGACCAUUCUGGUGGCCGGGGUCGGAGGCGGUGGAUGGACCUGGAGUUGGGAGGUCAGGCUCUGCCCUCCUGAGUGGCUUCGAGCUUGUUCCCUUGGACGCCCUUCGCCCGUUUCAUCAGAACCGGAAGCAUUAGGGCAUGGACAAGGCGGCACCCAAGAGUCAAACGACCUUAGCUCUGGUGCCCAGCGAAUGCCUCUGCCACUUACCCAGGCCCUGACGUGGGGCUCCUGUCCUGGCUCCUCCCAGCUCUGCUUCCGCCACAGUUUUCCUAACAAUGCCUAUCCUUGCCUCCCAGGCAUGUGGGCCGCUCUGCGAAGCACACCGCGUCCCCGAUGCCCAUCCGCAUUCAGCCCGGCCUCUUCCACUCCUGGCAUGAAGGUCAGCACCAAGGGAGAGGCAAGAGGUGCCUGAUGGCUGAUGAGGGAGUGAGUUAGAAAAAGCUAACCUUGGCGGGAGCAGUGCUAUGUCAUCGGCUGUAGGCUGUUACUUAGGGCUCACCUGCCCCGUGCCCACCUUUAAGAGAAAACAGCUUUUCUGAUGUCAGAUGCUUCCAGCCGGUUCCGCCUCCACCCCCUUCCCGGGGCGAAGCCGGCGGCGGCCAGCUGCCUGGCUGAGGGACCGGCUGCCUUGGUUUCACGGCCUCACGUUCAACGGUCUCGUGCUCUGGUGAGAACUUUCCUCAGGAAGCCGCACGCGGGACCCUGAAGACGAGCACGUCUUCCUGGAGCCUCUCAGUCCUGAGCUGUACGCUCUCGCCCCGCUGAGGUUUGGCCUCCCUCUCCUGCCUCUGAAACCACAAAGCAGUUAGAGAUGCUAAUCUCUCGACACAGAGUCACUCUGGCACCACAGGCAGAGGUCGCCUGGGGUCACCAUCGCCCGUCUGUGGUGGAAAGUUCCAAGCGGUGCAGUGGCUUCUGUGAUCUGCCAGUUGCCUCAGAGAGAGCCCUGGACCCCACAGGAAGGUGGUUUUCCGAGGCAGGGUAAAAAUAUAUUUGCGUUUGUUUACAGACGAGGGAUUAUUUUUAGCCGGAGGGUGAGGCAGGAUGAGGAACGAGGGGCCCCACGGUGGUGGGGCUUCGCCAGCGGGACCUGCACCUGCCCACCGCCAGGAGUUUGGGGGUUUCUGCUUCUGGUUGUUGCUGCACUUGCCUGCCCCUCCCGCCCACCUCCCAGGGCCUCAGGGAGAGGCAGCACCCAUCCCAGAGCUGCCUCUGCAUCCGACUGCUCUGUUUCCUCCAGGCCAGCCAGCCACACUCGACAGGCCAGCAGCUGAGCUUCAGGCUGCAGGGAGCUCUGUCUGGCUGCUGAGGGACGAGGGCCACGCCUUUGAAGUCCCUGCUGCCGUGCCCUGCUCUGCUACUAACCAUCGUCAGCUCAGGGCACAUCUUCGGGUCAUGUGAGUGGGCUGGCUGGACAGCUGUUGUCCAGAUGCUUCAACCUCACUGGGGGAAGUCCAAGCCGAGGGGUGGCCAGGGCGUUUGGAGAGAAAUGCCAGUUCUUUGGUACCUGGCUUCUGGGGUAACAGGGAGGAAAAGAGAGAUGCACACUGCUGUCCUCCAGCUAAGGCACCACUGUGACCAUGACCCCCAGCUCCACCCACAGGGAUGUGGGGACAGAACAAGUAAAGGUGAGACGAGGAGCACACUCCCGGGGAGUGACUCUGGGAUCGGCAGCAGAGUCCGGGUCACUCACAAACCACCAGUGGCCACCCAGAUCCUUCUCUCGCCAGGAACUGCUCCAGCAGAGCUGCUCUUAGAGAUAACUGAACCUACUCUCUGAGGCCCUGCCAGCCUAGGGCUGAUGGGUCCAGACAAGAUACAGCCCAGCAGGCUGUGCUCGGCCCACAUCCCCUGGGAGUCCUGUAUCAUUUUCAAGCACCCCAGCUCCAGGGGCCUCUUUUGUCAGAGGGCUUCCUUCAGGGUUCUGGAACGACUCUGCUGCUUAAAGAAAGUGAUAAUGGGAAUUUGCAUCCUUGCAGAGGUGACAGCCCUUAACCAAUGGAGGACGGACGGGAGAAGGAUAUAAAUAGUCCAGCCUCCCUGGGCCUCAUCAGGACUAAGGAGAAGGUUGCAGGGAGGCUCUGGAGAGAGCGUAAGUCUCACGGCACCACUUCCCUUCCUGGGGAUUUGCGCCAUGGGCACCCUUACCCAGCAUCCCUCUCUUCUGAGUGACUUCCCAACCACCUACUGAUUUUCCUGAAACAUUCCUUACAUGGGUCACUCUGCGCCUGCUUCUGGAGACUCUAACAUAAGACACAGGACAAGGCACGGGAGGCACUGUCUACCCUAAGGCCCAGAGUCAACCCAGUUUCCCCUCCUUGCCCAUGGCUUCUCGGCUUUUUCAAGUUCAGCCUUCCUAGCUCACCCCAUGGAGAGUCUUCAAGCAAAAGGAUCUCUCAUGCUGUUGCACAAGCAUAGUAGACAACUGUUUUCCCACUCCGCAGAGUCUUCUGUAAGAUCUCAACUCCAAGUCAGCACCAGGGCCCCAGGGGAAAUUCUGCUUCCCAAGUCUUAAUUCAGAGUAAGGAGGCCUUGGCUCCAGCUUCCAACCACACAAUCGCCUCGUGUUCCCCCCACCUCCCUCCAGCCCAGCAAAAAUGAAAGCCAAUGGGGGCCUUAUAUGGCAUUCGCCAGCUUUGGAAAACUUUUCAAAAAUAGUUUCAGUUCCUUUCUUAUUAUCUCCCCGGAGUCUGAUAAUUCCUGGAAGGAGGACUGUAGAUGCAUUGAUAUGUGGCGACUCCAGCAGAAAAUCAAUUCUGUAGCUCUGGAAAGCUGUAAAGAAAGCCCACGUGCACCCCUGCUGGGAGCUCUCAACUCUCUCCUCCCUCUGGACCCUCUGAGCCCUGGAAUUAACUCCCGCUUCUCCACAGCACAGGCAGCCCAGGGUGCUGGAUGCCAGGCCCCAAGGGAAGGACGGGGUGCGAACCAGAGAACCCCGUUCCUCCAGCUUGUCCUUCCUCCCCUUUGCCUCAAUCCAGGAACAUCCAGCUUAGGAGAAACCUCAGCGUGGCUUUCAACAUGACCUGCACCCUGGGAGACUUCCCACCACACAUCUCUCAGCACAUCUGGGCUCGUUGUGACCGCUGCUGCUCUUGACUCAACCCCGGAAACAUUCUGAAGCUGCAGCUUUGGACUUGAAGAACUAGAAACAAAGCCUCGAAGUCCUGUGCCUGAUUCCAUCCUGGUCACGCUUGUAUCAGGACUGGGUGGGUGGGUGGGGAGAAACUGGAAGAGAAGUAGCGGGAAAGGUAUCGUGAAGAAUCCUCAAGUCCCAGUUCUUGUUCGUCUUUUUCCACCGUCAAGGCCUGAUGCCCUUGUCAUGGUGGCCUGGGUCUUCAUGAAA